AACUAAUGAACUUGUAAAAGUGUAUAUUUUGAAAGUAUAAAAAAGAGACGCUGAUUCUCUAUUAGUUU
rnacentral:tRNA from 1 species